rnacentral:rRNA from 1 species
GAUGAACGCUGGCGGCGUGCUUAACACAUGCAAGUCGAACGAAGCAUUUAGAACAGAUUAUUUCGGUAUGAAGUUCUUUAUGACUGAGUGGCGGACGGGUGAGUAACGCGUGGGUAACCUGCCUUGUACUGGGGGAUAGCAGCUGGAAACGGCUGGUAAUACCGCAUAAGCGCACACUGUUGCAUGCAAUGGUGUGAAAAACUCCGGUGGUAUACGAUGGAUCCGCGUCUGAUUAGCUAGUUGGUGAGAGAACAGCCCACCAAGGCAACGAUCAGUAGCCGACCGGAGAGGGUGACCGGCCACAUUGGGACUGAGACACGGCCCAGACUCCUACGGGAGGCAGCAGGGGGGAAUAUUGCACAAUGGAGGAAACUCUGAUGCAGCGACGCCGCGUGAGUGAAGAAGUAAUUCGUUAUGUAAAGCUCUAUCAGCAGGGAAGAUAGUGACGGUACCUGACUAAGAAGCUCCGGCUAAAUACGUGCCAGCAGCCGCAGUAA